rnacentral:rRNA from 1 species
UUUUUAAUAUAUUUUUUCUGCGCGCGGGGAACAUCGGGCACGUGCGCAUUAAAUAUUACACAUGGUUUCGAAUUUUUUGACGUUUCCGGUAAGUUUUAGCUUGUGGCUCAUUAAUCACGCGUCUAAGGACGGAUAAGUAGUGUUGGCAAAGGUACCGCGUUCAGAAAGGGGUGUAAACCGUGGUGAAACUCGUGUUGGUGCGGUAGAAAGGGGGUGUGUGGAAACGAUGGUAAACUAGUCUCCGUCGUUAAGCGACAGAGUAAGUAGUGCAGUGGAGUAUCCGUUAUUAGGCAGUGCUGACAAAGAAGGUAGAGUCGGGUUUAUAGUGGAGCUGGGAGGGGCGAGCAUAAGGGACGAAGUUGGGGAAACAUGUCGGAUGCGAUCAUACCAGCACUAAAGCACCGGAUCCCAUCAGAACUCAUGAAGUUAAGCGUGCUUGGGCGAGAGUAGUACUAGGAUGAUCCCAUCAGAACUCCGAAGUUAAGCGUGCUUGGGCGAGAGUAGUACUAGGAUGGGUGACCUCCUGGGAAGUCCUCGUGUUGCAUUCCC